AUUGAACGCUGGCGGCAGGCCUAACACAUGCAAGUCGAGCGGAUGAAGGGAGCUUGCUCCUGGAUUCAGCGGCGGACGGGUGAGUAAUGCCUAGGAGUCUGCCUGGUAGUGGGGGAUAACGUCCGGAAACGGGCGCUAAUACCGCAUACGUCCUGAGGGAGAAAGAGGGGGAGCUUCGGACCUCACGCUAUCAGAGGAGCCUAGGUCGGAUUAGCUAGUUGGUGGGGUAAAGGCCUACCAAGGCGACGAUCCGUAACUGGUCUGAGAGGAUGAUCAGUCACACUGGAACUGAGACACGGUCCAUACUCCUACGGGAGGCAGCAGUGGGGAAUAUUGGACAAUGGGCGAAAGUCUGAUCCAGCCAUGCCGCGUGUGUGAAGAAGGUCUUCGGAUUGUAAAGCACUUUAAGUUGGGAGGAAGGGCAGUAAGUUAAUACCUUGCUGUUUUGACGUUACCAACAGAAUAAGCACCGGCUAACUUCGUG
rnacentral:rRNA from 1 species